rnacentral:rRNA from 1 species
UCGCACCUCAGUGUCAGUAUCAGUCCAGGUGGUCGCCUUCGCCACUGGUGUUCCUUCCUAUAUCUACGCAUUUCACCGCUACACAGGAAAUUCCACCACCCUCUACCGUACUCUAGCUCAGUAGUUUUGGAUGCAGUUCCCAGGUUGAGCCCGGGGAUUUCACAUCCAACUUGCUGAACCACCUACGCGCGCUUUACGCCCAGUAAUUCCGAUUAACGCUUGCACCCUUCGUAUUACCGCGGCUGCUGGCACGAAGUUAGCCGGUGCUUAUUCUGUUGGUAACGUCAAAACAGCAAGGUAUUAACUUACUGCCCUUCCUCCCAACUUAAAGUGCUUUACAAUCCGAAGACCUUCUUCACACACGCGGCAUGGCUGGAUCAGGCUUUCGCCCAUUGUCCAAUAUUCCCCACUGCUGCCUCCCGUAGGAGUCUGGACCGUGUCUCAGUUCCAGUGUGACUGAUCAUCCUCUCAGACCAGUUACGGAUCGUCGCCUUGGUAGGCCUUUACCCCACCAACUAGCUAAUCCGACCUAGGCUCAUCUGAUAGCG